rnacentral:RNase_P_RNA from 1 species
UGGCGAUGGCAGAUGAUCGCUGGCGAGCUGCUUGCGGCUUGCUGGAGGAAAGUCCGAACACCAUACGGCGGCACGCCGCGUAAAACACGCGGGCGUCACAGUUGAAAAACUGCGAUGACGGAGAGUGUCACAGAAAAAAUACCGCCGGUUCUUUGGCAACAAAGUGCAGGCAAGGGUGAAAAGGCGAGGUAAGAGCUCACCGCUCGCGGAGCAAUUCGCGAGGCACGAAAAACCCCAUGCGGUGCAAGACAAAACAGAGGAAGGGUAGCCGGCCCGAUUUAUCCUCGGGUAUCGUCGCAUUACGGUCCCGCGACCGCGGGAUCGGACUCUUGGAGAAAUCUGGGAGAGAUAAAUGAUCAUCCUCAGUAUUUUGCUAGCAAAAGUGCUGGGACAGAAUUCGGCUUAUCGCCAUCAAAAAUAU